rnacentral:tRNA from 1 species
GUUGUCGUGGCCGAGUGGUUAAGGCAAUGGACUAGAAAUCCAUUGGGGUUACCCCGCGCAGGUUCAAAUCCUGCCGAUAACG